rnacentral:rRNA from 1 species
CAGUAGCCGCGGGAAUACGUAGGGUGCAAGCGUUGUCCGGAAUCAUUGGGCGUAAAGCGCGCGUAGGUGGCCAUUUAAGUCCGCUGUGAAAGUCAAAGGCUCAACCUUUGAAAGCCGGUGGAUACUGGAUGGCUAGAGUACGGAAGAGGCGAGCGGAAUUCCUGGUGUAGCGGUGGAAUGCGCAGAUAUCAGGAGGAACACCAAUAGCGAAGGCAGCUCGCUGGGACGUUACUGACACUGAGGCGCGAAAGCGUGGGGAGCGAACAGGAUUAGAUACCCCAGUAGUCCCUGUCUCUUAUAC